rnacentral:pre_miRNA from 1 species
UUAAUACUCCCUCCGUCUAGAAAUACUUGUCCUAGAAAUGGAUGUAUCUAGAAUUAUUUUAGUUAUAGAUACAUCCAAUUUAUCCAUUUUGAGAACAAAUAUUUCUGGACGAAGGGAGUACCUA